UACGGAGGGUGCAAGCGUUAUCCGGAUUCACUGGGUUUAAAGGGUGCGUAGGCGGGCAGGUAAGUCAGUGGUGAAAUCUCCGAGCUUAACUCGGAAACUGCCAUUGAUACUAUUUGUCUUGAAUAAUGUGGAGGUAAGCGGAAUAUGUCAUGUAGCGGUGAAAUGCUUAGAUAUGACAUAGAACACCAAUUGCGAAGGCAGCUUACUACACAAUGAUUGACGCUGAGGCACGAAAGCGUGGGGAUCAAACAGG
rnacentral:rRNA from 1 species